GCAUGGUAGCUGAGUGGGUAAAGUGCUUAUAGCUAUUUACUCGGCACCAAACGUUGAUGGUUCGAUUCCAUCCUGGAGCA
rnacentral:tRNA from 1 species